AUUGAACGCUGGCGGCAGGCCUAACACAUGCAAGUCGAACGAGAUCUUCGGAUCUAGUGGCGCACGGGUGCGUAACGCGUGGGAAUCUGCCCUUGGGUUCGGAAUAACAGCGGGAAACUGCUGCUAAUACCGGAUGAUGACGUAAGUCCAAAGAUUUAUCGCCCAGGGAUGAGCCCGCGUAGGAUUAGGUAGUUGGUGGGGUAAAGGCCUACCAGGCCUACGAUCCUUAGCUGGUCUGAGAGGAUGAUCAGCCACACUGGGACUGAGACACGGCCCAGGCGCCUACGGGAGGCAGCAGUAGGGAAUAUUGGACAAUGGGGGCAACCCUGAUCCAGCAAUGCCGCGUGAGUGAUGAAGGCCUUAGGGUUGUAAAGCUCUUUUACCCGGGAUGAUAAUGACAGUACCGGGAGAAUAAGCCCCGGCUAACUCCGUGCCAGCAGCCGCCGUAAGAC
rnacentral:rRNA from 1 species